UACGAAGGGGGGCUAGCGUUGCUCGGAAUCACUGGGCGUAAAGCGCACGUAGGCGGCUUGUUAAGUCAGGGGUGAAAUCCUGGAGCUCAACUCCAGAACUGCCUUUGAUACUGGCAAGCUUGGAGUCCGGGAGAGGUGAGUGGAACUGCGGAGUGUAGAGGUGAAAUUCGUAGAUAUUAGGAAAGAACACCAAUGGCGAAAGCAGCUCUCUGGGACGGUAACUGACGCUGAGACGCGAAAGCGUGGGGAGCGAACGAGG
rnacentral:rRNA from 1 species